GGAAUCUUCGGCAAUGGGGGCAACCCUGACCGAGCAACGCCGCGUGAGUGAAGAAGGUUUUCGGAUCGUAAAACUCUGUUGUUAGAGAAGAACACGAGUGAGAGUAACUGUUCAUUCGAUGACGGUAUCUAACCAGCAAGUCACGGCUAACUACGUGCCAG
rnacentral:rRNA from 1 species